GAUGAACGCUAGCGGCAGGCCUAACACAUGCAAGUCGAGGGGCAGCACGAGUAGCAAUACUUGGUGGCGACCGGCGCACGGGUGAGUAACGCGUAUGCAACCUACCCUUAACAGGGGAAUAGCCCGAAGAAAUUCGGAUUAAUGUCCCAUAAUAUAACAGAAUCGCAUGAUUUAGUUACUAAAACUCCGGUGGUUAAGGAUGGGCAUGCGUGACAUUAGGUAGUUGGUGAGGUAACGGCUCACCAAGCCAACGAUGUCUAGGGGGCCUGAGAGGGUAGUCCCCCACACUGGUACUGAGACACGGACCAGACUCCUACGGGAGGCAGCAGUGAGGAAUAUUGCGCAAUGGAGGCAACUCUGACGCAGCCAUGCCGCGUGCAGGAAGACGGUCCUAUGGAUUGUAAACUGCUUUUAUACGGGAAUAAUCCCUGGUACGUGUACCGGGUUGAAUGUACCGUAAGAAUAAGCAUCGGCUAACUCCGUGCCAGCCGCCGCAGUAAUAC
rnacentral:rRNA from 1 species